rnacentral:rRNA from 1 species
AGAUUGAACGCUGGCGGCAUGCCUAACACAUGCAAGUCGAACGGGAGUAGCAAUACUCUAGUGGCGGACGGGUGAGGAAUACGUAGGAAUUUGCCCUUAAGUGGGGGAUAACCCGGGGAAACCCGGAUUAAUACCGCAUGACCUCGAAAGAGCAAAGUGGGGGAUCGCAAGACCUCACGCUUUUGGAGAAGCCUACGUACGAC